rnacentral:rRNA from 1 species
GACGAACGCUGGCGGCGUGCUUAACACAUGCAAGUCGAGCGGUAAGGCCCUUUCGGGGGUACACGAGCGGCGAACGGGUGAGUAACACGUGGGUGACCUGCCCUCAGCUCUGGGAUAAGCCUGGGAAACCGGGUCUAAUACCGGAUAUGACUCCAUGACGCAUGUUGUGGGGUGGAAAGCCUUGUGCGGCUGAGGAUGGGCCCGCGGCCUAUCAGCUUGUUGGUGGGGUGAUGGCCUACCAAGGCGACGACGGGUAGCCGGCCUGAGAGGGCGACCGGCCACACUGGGGACUGAGACAUGGCCCAGACUCCUACGGGAGGCAGCAGUGGGGAAUCUUGCGCAAUGGGCGAAAGCCUGACGCAGCGACGCCGCGUGAGGGAUGACGGCCUGG